rnacentral:rRNA from 1 species
AAGCGGCAAAAGCUCAAAUUUGAAAUCUAGCACCUUCGGUGUYCGAGUUGUAAUUUGAAGAUGGUAACCUUGGGUUUGGCUCUUGUCUAUGUUCCUUGGAACAGGACGUCAUAGAGGGUGAGAAUCCCGUCUGAUGAGAUGCCCAUUCCUAUGUAAGGUGCUAUYGAAGAGUCGAGUUGUUUGGGAAUGCAGCUCUAAGUGGGUGGUAAAUUCCAUCUAAAGCUAAAUAUUGGCGAGAGACCGAUAGCGAACAAGUACAGUGAUGGAAAGAUGAAAAGAACUUUGAAAAGAGAGUGAAAAAGUACGUGAAAUUGUUGAAAGGGAAGGGCAUUAGAUCAGACUUGGUGUUUUACGAKKAUCUUCUCUUCUUGAGUUGUGCACUCGUAUUUCACUGGGCCAGCAUCGAUUCGGAUGGCAAGAUAAUGGCAGUUGAAUGUGGCUUCACUUCGGUGGAGUGUUAUAGCUUCUGCUGAUAUUGCCUGUCUGGAUCGAGGGGCUGCGUCUUUUGACUA